ensembl:lncRNA
ACACUUAGACACUUAGACACACACACACACUGGUUGGCAUCUGGGCUGGCAUUUGCAUUGGCAGCAUGGCGCUCGUGUCUGGUGUCCACAAAAAGAGGCAGAGAGCUGUAAUCCAGACCCAGCCCUUGCGAUAGCACCCGGAGUGGAGAUCUUGUUCCCCUCGCUCCCGCCCUCCUGGACCUGGGCCGCCAGCUGCUCACACAACGUGGCCUGCCGGCCCACGGCUCACCUGCCUGCCUCCCCACGCCUCGACCGCUUCCGGGUUUUCCGCUCCACCUGUCCCCUCCAUCUGAAACCAACAUGUCUUUUAUCCUGUCUUCCUUCUCUCACCCCAACCGGUCGCAGCAGAUGGCCCCGCCGCUCCCUGAGCCUGGUUCUGCUGGAGGUUUCUUCCUGUUAAAAGGGAGUUUUUCCUUCCCACUGUUGCCAAAGUGCUUGCUCAUAGGG